AAAGAACCCAAAGAGGCAUGGCCCACAGAGGAUGAAGAGGAGAAUAAAAGAAAGAUGUCUAGUUAAAGAAAGGAUCCAUGAAGCCCAGCCCCAAAUGGAUCUGAAUUCAGAUACUUGGAAAUCAAAAUGCAGAAAACAGAAAGAGAAGAGUUUCAGAAAUCAAGAAAGAGAAG
rnacentral:lncRNA from 1 species